AAAAAAAAAAAAAGAAAAAAAAACAAGAAACGCUAAAGUUACGCUGUUUUCAUUAUCGCCGACUAGUUGUAUAUGUUAAUUAUAGAUUAUAUAUGUAUAUGUAUAUCUCGUCCGGUUCAGGCAUCCUGCCGGGAAACCUAAGACUUCAUACUUUAAAGAUAAGCUUCAAUGAUUUUUCUACAAGAUCAGAGAUUAAUUAAACGACUUAUAUACUUUCGUACAAUUAUUGCGUACAGAUUUAAUCACCAGAAGAUCCUUCGACUGUCCUUUCCGUGUCCUCAAGUGUCAAACUGCUUAACCUUCCAAUGAUUCAUACAAUGGUACAUCGUAAAAGACUUUCCGUAUACGACAAGCAGCCUUUGUUGUCGGCUGCAGCGGUGCUUUUUCGACUUACAUCAGUCAGCGUUUAAGUGAAACAAGUCAAGCUACCUAGAAUGAGGGGCGUACACUUCGAUCGAAAGUUUUUUUUCUCUUGGGUCAAAUAUAACACGGUGAUAGCAGUUAAAGGUUACACGUAAAAUACAAAUCGCUGGACGAAAGAUCCGAAGCGUAGAAUAAGGUAGGUAUUAUAUCAAUACGAAAAGUUUCCAUCACGCAUCGUACGAAGAGCUCGAUCAUAUUGAAGUGCCUGGAUACGAUCUCAUCCCAAUUGAUCAAAUCCGCGAAGGCACCUUGCGCACAAUUUUCAAGAUUUUUGCGACUUUUUCGCAUGGUUGAUAUAGACCUACGACAAUUUUAUACAAAUUUACGUAGCAGUAUGAACCUAGUUACAUUUAUAUUUCCGUGCAUUCGCAUUCGAAACUGUCCGGAUGCAUGUUGAAUAUUUAAAUACUAAAUUUCGACGAGAAUUAAUAUACAAUUAAAUUGCAUCAUUCGCAAACAUGCAAUUAUAUUCCAUUAUAUGCGAGCAUGGAAUUACAUGUUACAUGUAUUAUAUCGAACACGCUUAGCGUGAACAGAACAGUUAGCUUCUGGGCACGUAACGAUCGAGGAUAAAGAAUUAAGUAUGACGUUAAGAAGCGGAGGAAACAUUACCAUUUGAUUAUAAUUUCCUCGACUUUUUACAUUACAAACGAAAACGCCGAUUGUUACGUCAACCACGUUCGGUGGUAACAAAUGGUUACAGAUAGAAAGCACGAUAGACGAAGGAAAAAUCAAAAAAUUCCAUUACAAGCAUUAUCGUAUUUCUCACACUUGUAAAAAAGGUUCACCUUUAACGUCAAACAUAAUUCGCGAGGCCAUCGAUUAAGAUAAGAUUUGUUUAUCGCUCGUUUAGUAUUCAUCCAAGAAUUGAAUCGUCCAAAAAUACAUUUCCAUAGAAAUAUGUACGGGCUGUUGGAUAUAUGUAUUCCGAUGCUUAAUAAUCGCUCAGAGACAAAAGCUUACGAUAACUUCAAAGCACUAUUUCUCAGAUAUAACGGAAACAACGUUCAACGAAAUUAUGUAUUUGUUUUCUUUGAAAACGUACACGUGGAACAAGUUAAAAUAUUUAUCUGUCGAAUUAGGUUGUUUUCAAUACCAGGUUGCUAUCUCGCGCGUGUUGUUCAUAUCCUUACUAAGAAGUUAAACUCAGCCAUUGGAAUAAGUAUGUUGUAUCGUAAGGGAAACUUUUUCCAAGCAAAAUAUGGUCGUAACACGUUUGAAUUUAAAUUGACAAAUAUAUAAAAAUGUAUCGUGAAUUAUUGAAUUUAUAUUAUUUAUAAUUGGAAUGAUUGAAAACACCUGUAUAAUGAACAUUAUAAUAUUACAGUAAUUGUUUAAGUAUUCUUUAAGAUCGCCAAAUAAUUUAUAACGUGUUUUCACAUUCGGAAAGUGUAUAUCUACACGUCUAACUUUCUAGCCAUGUUCUUGGCAAACCAGUGCAGGACAAAGUUGUACAGGUCAACUUAAAAACAUGAUUCUCGUCAAUGGUGUCUCACGAAACGUCGACGUUUCUUGCAUCAGCCAAGGACUCGGUCUCUUUUAAUGUUGUAAAUGUCACAAACAGGUGUGGGACCGGUAGAUGACGCAAAAUAUCCUCUUGAUUACCCUCAUUUGUUUUUAUUAAAAUUUGUGUCUGCCAUUGAAAAUAUAGUACGUGUUAGAAUCUUUCUUUACAUAAAUACAUAUAUCCCCAAUCACAGAAAUGUGUGGUAUGCACGAUAAUAACUGUUUAAAUUUGCAAAUAUUCUGUUUAUAAUGAUCUUUAUAUUAGCAUACUUAACUCGUUAUUUCAAAAUUUGUUAAUAUUUGAUUGUACCAACGAUAGUGAAAAUAACCACCCAGUAUAUGUAUACUACACCUUCUAUCUGUAAAUUUCUGUUUUGAAAAGACCAGUGAACAAUUGUUUAAAAUUUCAUCAAAAUUGACGUUUCGCGACGUUCCUUUGUUAUUGAAACUAUCCAAAAUUCAAAUUCGUUUAUAAAUAAUAUUUUAUUAAUAGUAUCAUAGUGCUAUACCUCGCGAAUCUAUGAUCAACUUUUCUGUUGAAUUUCUUUUAAUUGACAUCUGUUUCGAACUUCACGGAAGUUACGCUUAUCAUACCCGUUAAUUGUAUCAAUUUUUUUUUCCUUAUAAAUAAGCAUGUACCUGAAAGUGCAAUAGCUUCUAGGCAUUGCAUCAAGUACGAGAAUUCCACUUCUGUCUUUCACGAUUCAAAGUGAAUAAAAAAUGUUAAUUGCCGAUAAAUUUAUUCGUAUACCUGUAUCAGUCAUUCAUUACUGGAUACCUUGAUAGAGAAUAAUAGAUGUACGCUCACGCAUCUGUAUUGCCGUUUCUUCUGUAAAGUAAAACGUUUAGAACAUAUUGCUUAUAGAACACUGGGAUUAACAGCUCUGCUAACAAAAUUUAUUUUAUUCUUUCGUUAACAAUAGAAUAUCAUGUUUCGAAACAAUAUACACGAUUACAUUGUUUUUGUAUAUCUACAUUGUUCUGUAAAAAUAAAUUUUAAUACUCCAUGUAUACUAUGAAAAUAUUAAAGUUGUCUUGAUGUAUAAACUGUAUAAAAAUGCUUUAAUAAAUACACAUGUAUAUAUAUAACUUUCUUGCAUUGAAAUUCGUUGCAGGAAGUCCGAAUAGUCGUUGGAACAACCGCAAUACAUAUAAGUAUAUAGAAAAAUAUAGUACUUUUAAACAUUACAAUCACCACUCACGCUGU